UACGUAGGGGGCAAGCGUUGUCCGGAUUUAUUGGGCGUAAAGAGCGUGUAGGCGGCCUUACAGGUCAGCUGUGAAAACUCGAGGCUUAACCUCGAGCUGUCGGCGGAAACCAUCUGGCUAGAGUCCGGAAGAGGAGAAUGGAAUUCCCGGUGUAGCGGUGAAAUGCGCAGAUAUCGGGAAGAACACCCGUGGCGAAGGCGGUUCUCUGGGACGGUACUGACGCUGAGACGCGAAAGCGUGGGGAGCGAACAGG
rnacentral:rRNA from 1 species